rnacentral:lncRNA from 1 species
GACGUAUUAAAACAUGUUGGCAUGUAGACUGCCUUUAGAGGACAGCUACUGUGUAUCAGAAGAGUGGGUGGGGGAUUUUUUUGGUGGUUUUUUUUUUUUUGGAAAGUAAAACUAAGAGAGGUACAAAUGCUUUAGGAAACCUUACAUGUGACUUACUUGAUUUAUUUAUUUAUUAGGUGACUGUUGAUUCCAGUUCCAGUAACAACUUGGUGGUGGCAGUGCUUAAUCAGAAAAUCAACGUUGUUGAAAAAAACAUUGCUGAAGUAAAAAGGGUCCUGGAAGAUAAACUUGAAUGGAAUGUUUACAUUGUUGAAGUUUACUCCAGUGAGUCUGAACGAAAAGCUAGAAGCAGCACUGAUGUAACCUAUGUAAAAAUUAUUGCUUUUGAUGAGACAAACCAGGAUGUACCUGCAGAAACUGUAAAAAGAAAACUUAGGGAGCAGAAGACUAACAUUGAGGGAGAACUAGAAAAAAUAUUCUCAAUGCCUGUUACUGCUACCAUAGAAGAGCCUCCUGCAGAACCAGCAGCUCCUGAACUCAUUGCAACGAUCGUCCUCGGUGUUCUGCUCGCCUGCACCCUCGUAGCCUGCCUGGCAUACGUACUUUUUACUAUCAGAAGGAAAAGAAAGCAUGACCAACAGCAUUUGGUUAAGAAGCAAGCUGAAACUGUGGAGGGUAUUGACAAUCUGUAUGCAAUUGAUGAAAAGGGAAGUCUGAGAAGCUUAGAGAAACUAGAGCAUACAAAUAAUGUGUAAGUAGAAUUCUGAUAUCACAAAUUUACAAAAAAUAGCGUAUCAGAAGAUGCGAUUGUACUUUAUUCUGGUAACAUGGGAUUUUCCUUGUCUCUCUCA